rnacentral:rRNA from 1 species
CUUUUUUUUUUUUUUAAUUAAAAAAAAGAUGAAUUACCAGGUUUCCGUUAGGUGAACCUUGGGGAAGGUUCCUUU